rnacentral:rRNA from 1 species
GAUGAACGCUAGCGGGAGGCUUAACACAUGCAAGUCGAGGGGCAGCAUAGGGUAGCAAUACUCUGAUGGCGACCGGCAAACGGGUGAGUAACGCGUAUGCAACCUACCCUGUACAGGGGGAUAACCCGGAGAAAUUCGGACUAAUAUCCCGUAAUAAUAUCCGGAGGCAUCUUUGGAUAUUUAAGGUUCCGACGGUACGGGAUGGGCAUGCGUAACAUUAACUGGUUGGUAAGGUAACGGCUUACCAAGGCUAUGAUGUUUAGGGGUCCUGAGAGGGUGGUCCCCCACACUGGUACUGAGACACGGACCAGACUCCUACGGGAGGCAGCAGUGAGGAAUAUUGGUCAAUGGGCGCAAGCCUGAACCAGCCAUCCCGCGUGCAGGAAGACGGCCCUAUGGGUUGUAAACUGCUUUUCCAGGGAGAGAAGCUUACGCACGUGUUGCGUGACUGACGGUACCCUGGGAAUAAGCAUCGGCUAACUCCGUG